UUGGGGUUCCAGCAGGAAGGCUAUCCCCACAGAGGUCUAACCACUCAACUGUGCUCUAAGUCAGGAGGAUGGCUUCAAGGAGCUUCAUGAUUUGGAGAGUUCAUUUGCUUCAUUUCCUAUCAAAUCAUUGCAAGAACUUAAAGGUUGUUUUGAUAUUGGUGAAGAUGAUGAGGGUUCAAGUAGUCCUAUGUCAGUUUCUUUUAAGACCAAGAAAGUGGAAGGAGUGAGAGUGGGAAUUCAGGGAAAACUAGCUCUUUAUCUUAUCAUCCCA